UUACUGGCACAGUUGGAGGUACUACCAGUGCUGUGUUUGACUAUGCAUGUAACCAUAGUAAUGGUAUGAACUCAGAUGUGCUACAGAAAU
rnacentral:miRNA from 12 species